rnacentral:rRNA from 1 species
CAGUAGCCGCGGUAAUACGGAGGGUGCAAGCGUUAAUCGGAAUUACUGGGCGUAAAGCGCACGCAGGCGGUCUGACAAGUCAGAUGUGAAAUCCCCGGGCUUAACCUGGGAACUGCAUUUGAAACUGUCAGGCUGGAGUCUUGUAGAGGGGGGUGGAAUUCCAGGUGUAGCGGUGAAAUGCGUAGAGAUCUGGAGGAAUACCGGUGGCGAAGGCGGCCCCCUGGACAAAGACUGACGCUCAGGUGCGAAAGCGUGGGGAGCAAACAGGAUUAGAUACCCGAGUAGUCCCUGUCUCUUAUAU